AGGGGCUCCGGCCAGGGUCGAGCUGCGGUAAUAACGGUCACUGCUGCCUCUUUCCCUCUCCCAGAGGCCACGCUGUGGGUGCGGUUGUCCGUUCGUCCCCUGGGGAUGCCGUUGACUGCAGCAGCCUCAGGCUUGCGUGGGCUGUCUCUGCCUGGCCUCCCUCUCCUCGCGGCGCGGGAGCGCAGAGGGACAGGCGGAGCGCUUACUGGCUGUGGGCAGGAGCUGCGGAAGCUGGAGAGGCCACAGAAUGGUAAAGCUGCUGAAGAAUAAAAUAAAGAGGAUCCAGCCACCAGCUGCAGACAGGAGAUAGCCUGCCUCUCCAGGUGGAUGACAGUCAAGUGAGUGCAGCUACAGAGGAGGAAGGGAGAGGGAGAGAGAGACAGACAUGUCUGAACUGUCAAAUUCUCCCAGCAGCUCCAACAGCGGGAGAAGCUGUCAGUCCUGCAGACACCAAGGUCAGUGAAGAAGAAAAAGGAGGUGGUGAUCCAGGUCCUAAAGCAGAGAUUCCCCUGCAGCCUGCAGUGAAGACCAUGGUGACACAGGCUGUCCCCCUGCAGCCCACGGAGGUCCAUGGCGGAGCAGAUAUGCACCCUGCAGCCGAUGGAGGACCCCUCGCCAGAGCAGGCAGAUUCACCCGAAGGAGGCUGUGACGCUGUGGAGAGGAGCCCACACUGGAGCAGGUUUUCUGGCAGGACCUGCAGCCCCAUGGGAGUGACACCACACUGGAACAGAAGAAGAGCACAAAGAAGGAAGGAGCAGCAGAGACAACUUGUGAUGAACUGACUGCAACCCCCUGCUCCUUCUCCCCCUGU